rnacentral:rRNA from 1 species
GUGCCAGCCGCCGCGGUAAUACGUAGGGUGCGAGCGUUAAUCGGAAUUACUGGGCGUAAAGCGUGCGCAGGCGGUUCGUCGUGUCCGAUGUGAAAGCCCCGGGCUCAACCUGGGAAUGGCGAUGGAUACUGGCGAGCUAGAGUACGGUAGAGGAGAGUGGAAUUCCCGGUGUAGCAGUGAAAUGCGUAGAGAUCGGGAGGAACAUCAGUUGCGAAGGCGGCUCUCUGGACCAGUACUGACGCUGAGGCACGAAAGCGUGGGGAGCAAACAGGAUUAGAUACCCUGGUAGUCCCAGCAGUAAACGAUGGACACUAGGUGUGCGGGGAAAUUGACCCCCUGCGUGCCGGAGCAAACGCAAUAAGUGUCCCGCCUGGGGAGUACGGUCGCAAGAUUAAAACUCAAAGGAAUUGACGG